rnacentral:rRNA from 1 species
CAUCGGGAUUGAAGCUUGCUUCAAUUGCCGGCGACCGGCGCACGGGUGCGUAACGCGUAUGUAACCUACCUAUAACAGGGGCAUAACACUGAGAAAUUGGUACUAAUUCCCCAUAAUAUUCGGAGAGGCAUCUCUCCGGGUUGAAAACUCCGGUGGUUAUAGAUGGACAUGCGUUGUAUUAGCUAGUUGGUGAGGUAACGGCUCACCAAGGCAACGAUACAUAGGGGGACUGAGAGGUUAACCCCCCACACUGGUACUGAGACACGGACCAGACUCCUACGGGAGGCAGCAGUGAGGAAUAUUGGUCAAUGGACGCAAGUCUGAACCAGCCAUGCCGCGUGCAGGAAGACGGCUCUAUGAGUUGUAAACUGCUUUUGUACGAGGGUAAACUCACCUACGUGUAGGUGACUGAAAGUAUCGUACGAAUAAGGAUCGGCUAACUCCGUGCCAGCAGCCGCGGUAAUACGGAGGAUUCAAGCGUUAUCCGGAUUUAUUGGGUUUAAAGGGUGCGUAGGCGGUUUGAUAAGUUAGAGGUGAAAUCCCGGGGCUUAACUCCGGAACUGCCUCUAUACUGUUAGACUAGAGAGUAG